rnacentral:rRNA from 1 species
GACCCUAUAGAGUUUCAUAUUUAAUAAAAUUUAUUUUUUUUAGAAUUUAUAAAUUGAAUUUUAUUAUGUAUUUGAUUGGGGUGAUUGAAAAAUUAAACAAACUUUUUUUAUAUAAUUACAUUAAUUUAUGAAUAAUUGAUCCAUUAAUUAUGAUUAUAAGAUUAAAUUACCUUAGGGAUAACAGCGUAAUUUUUUUUGAGAGUUCAAAUCGAAAAAAAAGAUUGCGACCUCGAUGUUGGAUUAAAAUAAAUAUUUGGUGUAGAAGCUAAAUUAAUUGGGUCUGUUCGACCUUUAAAAUUUUACAUGAUCUGA